rnacentral:rRNA from 1 species
UACGUAGGGUGCGAGCGUUAAUCGGAAUUACUGGGCGUAAAGCGUGCGCAGGCGGUUCGGUGUGUCUGAUGUGAAAGCCCCGGGCUCAACCUGGGAAUGGCAUUGGAAACUGGCGAGCUAGAGUGUGGCAGAGGGGGGUGGAAUUCCGCGUGUAGCAGUGAAAUGCGUAGAGAUGCGGAGGAACACCGAUGGCGAAGGCAGCCCCCUGGGCUGACACUGACGCUCAGGCGCGAAAGCGUGGGGAGCAAACAGG